rnacentral:snRNA from 1 species
GUGCUUACUUCCCCAGCACAUAUACUAAAAUUGCAACCAUACCUACAAGAUUAACAUGGCCCCUGCACAAGGAUGACAUGCAAAUUUGUGAAGUGUUCCAUAUUUAA